rnacentral:lncRNA from 1 species
GUUUCUUCAAAAGAAAGCUGUAUUUGGUGUAUUUCCAAUUUAUGUUAAAUGCCAGCAGGCUGGCUAAGCAGGCUGAUUUGCUUUGUGUAAUGUGGAAAUUGAAAGGUUUGUCAUAACUUUGGAGUACGUCUGAUUUCAUUAGGGACUGGAACAUCCCUCCUGUGAGGAGAGGCUGAGAGAGCUGGGACUGUUCAGCCAUGAUAGGGUGGUUGGAACUCGAACAUCUUUAAGGUACCUUCCAGCUCAAGACUGUCUAUUAUUCUCUGGUUCUAUGGCUCUGUGAUGUGUAAGAGCUGGAACUACUGGAGGACACAGUCAACAUGCAAGGAUUUUUUGCUGCCCCUAUGUCACCAAUUAUGACAUAGUAGAACUUGGUACACGCUCAAGCCGAAACUGCUGCCUUCGGCUUAAGAAGAGGUCACCAGAAUGCUGGCAUGGAUAUGCAGCACUCUCUGAAGGGAUUCGCUUUGCUGUUACUACAUCAGGACACUUACAAUCAUGAGCAAUUGCCUACAUUCUCUGUUUGCCUUGUUGCCCGGAAUAAUAGUCAUUUGUGGCUUGAUUGCUUUGUUCUGCAUUGUGCUUUUCGACACCACACCUGCUCAUGGACAAACAAAGACUGUCAAGAAGUUCAGGGAACCAGGAAAGAUUAAAUAUGAUAUCCAUAAUGUAAUUGCCAACCCAAAUGCUCCCAAAGAAGACAUUGAAUUUGAUACAGAUGAUUUCCUAGUCAAGGUGGAGAAGGACAUCAGCCCUGAUUCCAAUGUGUGCUUGGAGAUCUUUCCAAAGGAGCAGUUUGUGCCUGGCAGGAAUGUAUGGCAAGUACAAGUGACAACUGACACCCAGGAAGACAGAAGUUCAGAUGAGCAAAGUUAUGUUUUGACUUUCAAGUACUUGCAGAACACUUUAUGGAUCUUCCUGGGGAUCAUUUCUGGCACUACCCAGAACACAGGCAAUGUGAGAUCCACCACCAUCAGUAAAAACAGAAAGUCCAAGUAGGCAGCAAAAGCCAAGCCAAGAAGGCAGCAAAAGUGAAGUUAAAAAGAGAGAACCAGCUUGUUUUCAGCUUGGCAACUUGCUCUUCUACAACAUUCAGUGAAAAGAAUCUUCUCCUUUGUCACCUAAGAACUGAGCUUGUGGGUGUGUUUCUCACUACUUCAUU